GUCUAUGGCCAUACCACUCUGAAUGCACCCGAUCUUGUCUGAUCUCGGAAGCUAAACAGGGUCGGGCCUGGUUAGUACUUGGAUGGGAUAAAACUUCAGGCCAAUAUCCAUG
rnacentral:rRNA from 1 species